rnacentral:rRNA from 1 species
AAGUCGAGCGCGAAAGGGGACUUCGGUUCCCAAGUAGAGCGGCGGACGGGUGAGUAACACGUGGGUAAUCUGCCCUCGGGUGGGGAAUAACCCAGGGAAACCUGGGCUAAUUCCGCAUGAUAUUUUCGAGUCACAAGUCUUGAAAAUCAAAGCUGGGGACCCUUCGGGGCCUGGCGCCUGAGGAGGAGCUCGCGGCCAAUUAGCUUGAUGGUGAGGUAACGGCUCACCAUGGCUUCGAUUGGUAGCCGGCCUGAGAGGGCGGACGGUCACACUGGGACUGANACACGGCCCANACUCCUACGGGAGGCAGCAGUGGGGAAUUUUUGUCAAUGGGGGCAACCCUGAACAAGCNACGCCGCGUGAAGGACGAAGACCUUCGGGUUGUAAACUUCUGUCGGAGGGGACGAAGCGGUNUUGGUUAAUACCCAGUGCCGUUGACNGUACCCUAC